rnacentral:lncRNA from 1 species
GCUACUUCUUGCUAUAUUGGGGUUUGAUCCAUGAUGAGCUAUUCCAGAGAGAAUGUAAAAAAGAAAAUUCAUUAUUUCCUCUGUAGGUCAUUGAGGGGUUUGAAGAUCUGCUUGAAUUUUUGGGGUGGCAUUUUUGUCAAACGGGACCUGUUAGAUCAGCUGAGACUUGAACUGAUCAGAACGCCUGGUGGUUUGUGGCGCCCUUAUGUUCCAGUCAUUUG